rnacentral:rRNA from 1 species
GAUGAACGCUAGCGGCAGGCUUAACACAUGCAAGUCGAGGGGCAGCGAGAUCAGUGCUUGCACUGAUUGUCGGCGACCGGCGCACGGGUGCGUAACGCGUAUGCAACCUACCCAUUACAGGGGGAUAACACUGAGAAAUCGGUACUAAUACCCCAUAACAUCACCGGAGGCAUCUUCGGUGGUUGAAAACUCAGGUGGUCAGAGAUGGACAUGCGUUGUAUUAGCUAGUUGGUGAGGUAACGGCUCACCAAGGCGACGAUACAUAGGGGGACUGAGAGGUCAACCCCCCACAUUGGUACUGAGACACGGACCAA